CCUACGGGUGGCAGCAGUGGGGGAGAUUGCACAAUGGGGGAAACCCUGAUGCAGCGACGCCGCGUGUAGGAAGACGGUCCUCUGGAUUGUAAACUACUGUCCCCAGGGACGAAGAUGACGGUACCUGGGGAGGAAGCCCCGGCUAACUACGUGCCAGCAGCCGCGGUAAUCAGUAGGGAGCGAGCGUUGUCCGGAAUUACUGGGUGUAAAGGGAGCGUAGGCGGGGAGGCAAGUUGGGUGUUAAAUCUACCGGCUCAACUGGUAGUCGCACUCAAAACUGCAGCUCUUGAGUGAAGUAGAGGCAGGCGGAAUUCCUAGUGUAGCGGUGAAAUGCGUAGAUAUUAGGAGGAACACCAGUGGCGAAGGCGGCCUGCUGGGCUUUUACUGACGCUGAGGCUCGAAAGUGUGGGGAGCACACAGGAUUAGAUACCCCAGUAGUC
rnacentral:rRNA from 1 species